rnacentral:tRNA from 1 species
AAAAUAAAGCGAUAUUUAAUUGCAUUCAGUUUCGACCUGAAAUUAGAAAAUUUUCUAUUUUU